UGAGGAUGGCGGACGGGUGAGUAACGCGUAAGGAACUUGCCUCUUGGACUGGGACAACUGUUGGAAACGACAGCUAAUACCAGAUAUUAUGAGAUUCUCGCAUGAGAAAUUUAUGAAAGCUAUAUGCGCCAAGAGAGAGCCUUGCGUUCCAUUAGCUAGUUGGUGGGGUAACGGCCCACCAAGGCGACGAUGGAUAGCCGGCCUGAGAGGGUGAACGGCCACAAGGGGACUGAGACACGGCCCUUACUCCUACGGGAGGCAGCAGUGGGGAAUAUUGGACAAUGGGCCACAAGCCUGAUCCAGCAAUUCUGUGUGCACGAUGAAGGUCUUCGGAUUGUAAAGUGCUUUCAGUUGGGAAGAAGAAAGUGACGGUACCAACAGAAGAAGCGACGGCUAAAUACGUGCCAGCAGCCGCGGUAAUACGUAUGUCGCAAGCGUUAUCCGGAUUUAUUGGGCGUAAAGCGCGUCUAGGCGGAAAAAUAAGUCUGAUGUUAAAAUGCGGGGCUCAACUCCGUAUUGCGUUGGAAACUGUUUUUCUAGAGUACUGGAGAGGUGGGCGGAACUACAAGUGUAGAGGUGAAAUUCGUAGAUAUUUGUAGGAAUGCCGAUGGAGAAGUCAGCUCACUGGACAGAUACUGACGCUGAA
rnacentral:rRNA from 1 species